AGGAAAAGCUCGAAAAUCAGCGUAACACUGUUGGAGAUGAGGGAGCACAGCACAAUUUUGAGAGCCAAACAAAGGCGGGGCACAGAGCUGUUGCCUCGAGAUGUGGCCUCAGAAGGUCUUGUCGAGGCGAGUGAUGAAAGGGAGGAGGUUCCCGGGGAUACUGGAGCCGGAAGACGCGGCGAGGGUCCGGGUUAGCAAACGGGGCAGAGUCAGAGGCCCAGGACGCCGGGCCCUGGGGGCGCUGUCGCGGGGCGACGGCGGAGGCCGGGGUGGUGGGCGCCCUGGGGUGGGGGGAGACGGGAGUGCUCUCCCAGGUGGGCUUGGAGGGGCCCCGGCCCAGACACCCAGGGCCAGCCGGCGCACCCGCAUGAUGUUCUGAAAGCGUCCCCGCAGCCUGGUCGGUGGCUGGGGGAAGCUGGGCGUGGUUAGCCUGGCAGCCUGGCUUUGCGGACUUACCUCCGGGCCUCGUCCUCCAGUGCCUUCCCUCCCCAACUGAGGGGCUUGACUGCACCCGCACGCGGUUUUCCAGGAGCAGCGAUCCCGGAGUGGACUCUCCCGCAUCCGGGGGGACAUUAGCACUCUCGACUCCCCCAUAGGACACACUCACUGAGGUCACGCGAACCAAAACCAAAUGACCCACCACCACGACAGCCGCAUCGUUUCCCCUGGUGAUUUAAAGGAAGGGUUUUUAGUGGUUUGUCCGGGAGGUUUUAGAGUGAGAGAAUGAAGGUGGUGAGGCCCGAGGGAGGGAGGCGCAUGGAAGCCGCCGCCUCUGACUGUCCCAGGGUGUGCCCAGGCCCAGAGAUGAUGUCCAGGCCCCUGAAGGGAGUGAAGCGGAGGCCUUGCUGGAGGCGAAGGAUUCAAGGAGAUUCAAAACCCAUGUCACUGCUGCCAUCUUCCUAGAAUCCCCUUAAAUCCUCAUGGAUUUGCUGACAAUGGCAGCAUCCUGAAAGCAUCGCUAUGCUAGGGUGGCUGCAGUAACAGGUACAAUGAGAAAUGAUGGUUCUCCCCACUCCAAAAAAAAUCAAAUCAGAUUGUGAAUUUAUUCCCUGACAUUAACACGUGGCAUUACAGGAGCAUGUACAUCACAUGGUCAAUUUAUUGGCAUGAGGAUUAUGUCAUCAAGGAAUAAAUGGGAAAUUCUCAAGGUGGCCCAACCCUGGAAGGCCUGUAGGCUUCCAGUGAGAAAACUGGAGACCACACUCACCCGUCCCACUGCCCUUUCUUUGGGGCUGCCUGUGAUACCGGGUUAUUCCCCUCGCCGCGUUCCACUGUGCUUACCCUGUUGGAAUAUGAUGGUGGACUUGCCAGAGGAGAGGACCAUGCUUUUCAGGAACAGCAGCCCCUCCUUCCUGGUUGAGGCAGCCAGCAGGCACUCCUAUCCAUGAGCCACACCUUAGCUAAGGCAACCCAGUCCAGCUGCGUGCCCUCUCUCUGCUUCUGGGGAGGUUGGAAUGACCAGGGGCAUUCAUGCUUGUUUCUAGGGGGCCGUAACUGGAUCUCUGGAUCCAGACCUACUCAGGGGAGAAAGACUGUACUCUGGGUUCCAUGUUAGGACUGACGGGUGCAUCUUAACUGAGAUGCAGACAGUGGACAAUUCGAACUCUGACCUGAGAGCAAGCCCCAGCCUUGGUGCUCAUAAAUGUUCCACACAGGGGAAGCCAAGUUGUGAGCAGUGCACCUUCGCGAGCAAAGCCUUGACUGAAAUCUUCCCUAACAAUUGGCUGGUCACUCCUGAGCGUAAUCUCCCCCUUUCAGAACACUGGGGAUGAAUUUAGGGACAUUGAAGCCUCCUGAUGAGAAAUAGGUGUCCACUCGCUGGGAGAACUGAAAUAUCAGGAGAUUUCUACACAAAUCUCACAGAGUCCUUCUGGCAUCCUAGGGGUUUGCUCACAUAUAAGGGACUUUCUGGUAGGAAGAGAGUCUCUUUACAUUCUUUAUUAUAUGAUCCUGGUGGCUUUGUAGAGAGAUGGUAUAGCUGAAAGAUCAUGCCCUGUGGGGCCAGGGAGUUGUGUGUGUGUGAAUGCUCUGUGACCUUAGGCAAACUACUUAGCCUCUCUGAGCCUUAGCUGCAUCAGCUUUGAAAAAGAGGAUGAUAAAAUGGAGUCACCUUAUUUGACUUUUAUAAAUAUAAUUACAUAAUUACACAAGUUGUGGGGAUGGGAAGAGAGAGUCGGGGAAAGAGAAAUGAGAGAGAGAGAGAAAGAGAGAGAAUGAAUGAUAAACAAUUUAAACAACAGUGGGGUAUGGACCAACACCCAGCCUGGCAAGAGUGAGCCCAGAGAGCCUUCCCUCCCGGCUAUUGGCAGCCUCCGCGUGGAAGCCUGUCGUUGCCUUCUUAAUGAUGAGAGAUGUUCUGGGGGCACUCCAGGAUUCUUGGACAUGGGAUCGUCUUCACAGCUGUGUCUAUUGAAAGCUGAAGUUUCAGUCUCCCCUGCCCCCACCCCCCGCCCCCCGGAGUGGCUUCCCAGGGGAAAUUCAAGGGCACCUGUGACUGCAUGGCUGCUUUCCUUUCCUUUACUCAAUGCCAUCCUCUGGUGACAGCCAUGUCUCAUGCCAGGAUACAUGAGGUGCUCUAUAGUAAUGUGUUUUCCCUCCUGGGAGGUAAUUUUAUUUAAAUGUGAAGUCAAAAGGAUCACUAAAUAGAACUGUGAGGCAACCACUCUGGGCACCUGCCUGGUGAUAUCCACAAGAACUGACCACAGGUACCCCCUGUGCCCAGCAAGUCCUUCGCUGGGCAGUCACGCAACAGGCAUGGGGAUGUGUGGCCACCAAGCCCUCCAGGGCAGUGCUAGUUGUAAUAGUCCCAAAUGGGAGAGAUGGCAAACGCCCGCCAAUGGGGCAGCGUGGAUAAAUGGAUACCGCACAGCAACGGCGAUGAGUGAGCCCCAGCACCCAUGAGCUCACCAGCGUAAUAUUGGGUGAAAGAAGCCAGGAGGAAGGGCAUUCACAUUCUACAAUUCCAGCUACACUACGUUUAAAUAUGGGCAGAGCUAGGCUGUGGUGCUGGAAGCCAGGACAGUGGAAUCCUUGCAUGGUGGGGGAUGGUGCUGGUAGGUUCUGGUAAUUUUCUCUUCUUGAUCUGGGUGUAAACAUUUUGUGAAAAAUCAAUGAGGUAUACAUUUAUGACUGGCACAUUUAUGAUUUUGUAUGAAUAUUAUACUUUCAUAAAACUAUUUUAAAAUAUGA
rnacentral:lncRNA from 1 species